rnacentral:lncRNA from 1 species
GGCCGGCGAGAAACACCAAGAGUGGAAGGGAAGUACAUGGGCCGGGCUGAAUCUCGGGAUAAGCCACAUAUCCCAUCCGUAGAUCCACCAUUUUGCAUGGACAUAUCAUCAUAUAUCAUCGUAUUAUUAUUCACAAUAUAACAUAAUCGAGUUAAUGUUCGAAAGAAAAAAGAUAAUCGAGUCUAAGAAAUGAUGCAGAGGCAAGCACAACGCCUGCCGGAUUAGUUAGCGGCGUUCACGAGCUCAGCAUAUAUAGGGCCUUGUUUAGUUCUUUUUUUUUUUUGCAAAACAGCUAUUGUAGCACUUUUAUUUAUAUUUAACAAAUAUUAUCUAAUCAUGGACUAACUAGAUUCAAAAGAUUUGUCUCGUCAAUUACAAGCAAAUUGUGUAAUUAGUUAUUUUUUAUCUAUAUUUAAUGUUUCAUGCAUAUGCCGUGAUGGAGAAUUAAAAAAAUUUACAAAACUUUUUUGGGAACUAAGGCCUUGUUUAGUUCACCUAAAAAACCAAAAACUUUUCAAGAUUCCCCAUCACAUCGAAUCUUGCGGCAUAUAUAUGGAGCAUUAAAUAUAGACAAAAAAACUAAUUAUACAAUUUAAAUGUAAAUCGUGAGAUGAAUCUUUUAAGCUUAGUUAGUAUAUGAUUAGAUAAUAAUUAUUAAAUAAAAUAAAAAUAUUACAGUAUCAAAAAAUUAAAAAAAAUCAGAUCUAGACAAGGCCUAAGGCCUAGGUCUCCUCCAACCUCCAGUUGGCGUGAGCGCGACCGACCUCAGUGUGGUGUGGGGGUGUCACCGGUGUCGCCGGUGCUGAUGAAUGCGUCCUGCUGCAGCCGGCGCACGCAACGCCCUGUUUACCCCACUUAAAAAAAAAUUUCAUCCAUCUCAUCAAAUCUUUAGACAUAUGCAUGGAACAUUAAAUGUAGAUAAAAAAUAAACUAAUUACACAGUUUAGUUAGAAAUCGCGAGACGAAUCUUUUAAACCUAGUUAGUCCAUGAUUAGCCUUAAGUGCUACAGUAAUCCACAUGUGCUAAUGAUAGAUUAAUUAUCCUUAAUAGAUUUGUCUUGCAGUUCUAGACGAGCUAUGUAAUUUGUUUUUUAUUAGUUUCUAAAAACCUCUCCUGACAUCUUUCCGACAUAUCCGAUGUGAUCACUGCUAUCAACUUGCUUACUGCCGGUGAUGGUGGUGGAGUUUCCGGGGGAGCCCCGGUGGCUCGCUGCGCUCUGCAAGUGCUACGGGCAAGGAGGCUAACUAAACACAUGCAGUUG